CCCUCCAUGGCUUAGAUGGUAAAGAAUCUGCCUGCAAUGCAGAAGACUGGGGUUUGAUCCCUAUGUUGGGA
rnacentral:tRNA from 1 species